UACGGGGGGGGCAAGCGUUGUUCGGAAUUACUGGGCGUAAAGCGCGCGUAGGCGGCUCUUCAAGUCGAGUGUGAAAGCUCCAGGCUUAACCUGGGAAUUGCGGUUGAAACUACAGGGCUAGAAUCUGGCAGAGGGGGGUGGAAUUCCACGUGUAGCAGUGAAAUGCGUAGAGAUGUGGAGGAACACCGAUGGCGAAGGCA
rnacentral:rRNA from 1 species